rnacentral:rRNA from 1 species
GACGAACGCUGGCGGCGUGCCUAAUACAUGCAAGUAGAACGCUGAAGGAGGAGCUUGCUCUUCUGGAUGAGUUGCGAACGGGUGAGUAACGCGUAGGUAACCUGCCUGGUAGCGGGGGAUAACUAUUGGAAACGAUAGCUAAUACCGCAUAACAGUAGAUGUUGCAUGACAUUUGCUUAAAAGGUGCAAUUGCACCACUACCAGAUGGACCUGCGUUGUAUUAGCUAGUUGGUGGGGUAACGGCUCGCCAAGGCGACGAUACAUAGCCGACCUGAGAGGGUGAUCGGCCACACUGGGACUGAGACACGGCCCAGACUCCUACGGGAGGCAGCAGUAGGGAAUCUUCGGCAAUGGACGGAAGUCUGACCGAGCAACGCCGCGUGAGUGCAGAAGGUUUUCGGAUCGUAAAGCUCGGUUGUAAGAGAAGAACGAGUGUGAGAGUGGAAAGUUCACACUGUGACGGUAUCUUACCAGAAAGGGACGGCUAACUACGUG